rnacentral:piRNA from 1 species
UCAAGGACCCGAGUUUAGAGACAACUGAGC